rnacentral:rRNA from 1 species
GAUGAACGCUGGCGGCGUGCCUAAUACAUGCAAGUCGAGCGAACGGACGAGAAGCUUGCUUCUCUGAUGUUAGCGGCGGACGGGUGAGUAACACGUGGAUAACCUACCUAUAAGACUGGGAUAACUUCGGGAAACCGGAGCUAAUACCGGAUAAUAUUUUGAACCGCAUGGUUCAAAAGUGAAAGACGGUCUUGCUGUCACUUAUAGAUGGAUCCGCGCUGCAUUAGCUAGUUGGUAAGGCAACGGCUUACCAAGGCAACGAUGCAUAGCCGACCUGAGAGGGUGAUCGGCCACACUGGAACUGAGACACGGUCCAGACUCCUACGGGAGGCAGCAGUAGGGAAUCUUCCGCAAUGGGCGAAAGCCUGACGGAGCAACGCCGCGUGAGUGAUGAAGGUCUUCGGAUCGUAAAACUCUGUUAUUAGGGAAGAACAUAUGUGUAAGUAACUGUGCACAUCUUGACGGUACCUAAUCAGAAAGCCACGGCUAACUACGUGCCAGCAGCCGCGGUAAUACGUAGGUGGCAAGCGUUAUCCGGAAUUAUUGGGCGUAAAGCGCGCGUAGGCGGUUUUUUAGUCUGAUGUGAAAGCCCACGGCUCAACCGUGGAGGGUCAUUGGAAACUGGAAAACUUGAGUGCAGAAGAGGAAAGUGGAAUUCCAUGUGUAGCGGUGAAAUGCGCAGAGAUAUGGAGGAACACCAGUGGCGAAGGCGACUUUCUGGUCUGUAACUGACGCUGAUGUGCGAAAGCGUGGGGAUCAAACAGGAUUAGAUACCCUGGUAGUCCACGCCGUAAACGAUGAGUGCUAAGUGUUAGGGGGUUUCCGCCCCUUAGUGCUGCAGCUAACGCAUUAAGCACUCCGCCUGGGGAGUACGACCGCAAGGUUGAAACUCAAUGGAAUUGACGGGGACCCGCACAAGCGGUGGAGCAUGUGGUUUAAUUCGAAGCAACGCGAAGAACCUUACCAAAUCUUGACAUCCUUUGACAACUCUAGAGAUAGAGCCUUCCCCUUCGGGGGACAAAGUGACAGGUGGUGCAUGGUUGUCGUCAGCUCGUGUCGUGAGAUGUUGGGUUAAGUCCCGCAACGAGCGCAACCCUUAAGCUUAGUUGCCAUCAUUAAGUUGGGUACUCUAAGUUGACUGCCGGUGACAAACCGGAGGAAGGUGGGGAUGACGUCAAAUCAUCAUGCCCCUUAUGAUUUGGGCUACACACGUGCUACAAUGGACAAUACAAAGGGCAGCGAAACCGCGAGGUCAAGCAAAUCCCAUAAAGUUGUUCUCAGUUCGGAUUGUAGUCUGCAACUCGACUACAUGAAGCUGGAAUCGCUAGUAAUCGUAGAUCAGCAUGCUACGGUGAAUACGUUCCCGGGUCU